GGAUUGGAGUCUGCAACUCGACUCCAUGAAGUCGGAAUCGCUAGUAAUCGUAGAUCAGAAUGCUACGGUGAAUACGUUCCCGGGCCUUGUACACACCGCCCGUCACACCAUGGGAGUGGGUUGCAAAAGAAGUAGGUAGCUUAACCUUCGGGAGGGCGCUUACCACUUUGUGAUUCAUGACUGGGGUGAAGUCGUAACAAGGUAACCGUAGGGGAACCUGCGGUUGGAUCACCUCCUUACCUUAAAGAA
rnacentral:rRNA from 1 species